GUAGACGGUGUGUGCGUUCCUCUCGCUCACUGAGUCGCCCAUCGCCUCGAACAUGCAGUCUUUGUGAGUGUGCAUCUCCGUCAUCGGCACGUCGACGCUGUGGGAGUUGUUGUGAGGAGUCUGCGUACCGUAAGACGGAACCGGCUGGAGGGGAAACAGACGGAUCAUUAGCAGGCCCACAGAGGGGGCGGGGCUUGACAGAGACUCAGUAGGAUCAUGAUGAGGGUCUGAGCUCUAAUCUGGUGAACACACUCUGCUGUGAUCCGAUGAAACCAGCGGGCCUGAUGAAGAACUGCUCACAGAGGUGAGCGAUGAUUCCAGCUGCCAGAGCGUCGCCCAGGACGUUGAUCAUGGUCCGAAACCUGUCGCUGCAGAGACGGAGAGGCCGAGGAGACACUGAUCCAGUCGAUGGCCACGAUGAGCGUGAUGUCAUCUGGCGGCAGGCCCACUGAUGUCAGUACGAUCACCAUGGUAACCAGACCGGCCUGAGGAAUCCCUGCUGCACCGAUGCUAGCAGCUGUAGCUGUGAUGCUGCAAGACAGAGAAACACGCAUGAGGACGACAGAAGAAGAAGCAGAGUUUACUGGGCCGCUAUCUAGCUGCUCCUUUUCUUCUGUUGGUGAC